AAGUCGUAACAAGGUUUCCGUAGGUGAACCUGCGGAAGGAUCAUUACUGAGUGUUUGAUGAAAAUCAACCUCCCACCCUUUGUUUAUUUGACUAUUUAUUACUUUGGCGUUUCGUUUUUUUUUGUUUUUUCAAAGAAAAAACCGUUGGCUGAUAAUAUCAGUGAAUGUGUACUCGCCAAAGGAAAGAUUUUUUAACACUUUUUAUUUGAUCAUGUCUAAAAAAAGUCAUUUUUGAAAAAAAAUAAAAACUUUCAACAACGGAUCUCUUGGUU
rnacentral:misc_RNA from 1 species